AUAGUUCCUAAAUCUAUAGAAGAAUAUUCUAAAUAUAGAAUUUUAUUCAUAGACAUGGAACUAACAGUGGGCGACUUGAAUGAGUCGCAGAAGUUAGAUAGGCCAUCACACCUGCUAAUGUUAUUCCAGUUGGUAGCUCUGUG
rnacentral:sRNA from 17 species